rnacentral:rRNA from 1 species
UGCCAGACUCCUACGGGAGGCAGCAGUGGGGAAUAUUGCACAAUGGGGGAAACCCUGAUGCAGCGACGCCGCGUGAGCGAUGAAGUAUUUCGGUAUGUAAAGCUCUAUCAGCAGGGAAGAAGAUGACGGUACCUGACUAAGAAGCCCCGGCUAACUACGUGCCAGCAGCCGCGGUAAUACGUAGGGGGCAAGCGUUAUCCGGAUUUACUGGGUGUAAAGGGAGCGUAGACGGCGAUGCAAGCCAGAUGUGAAAGCCCGGGGCUCAACCCCGGGACUGCAUUUGGAACUGUGUGGCUGGAGUGUCGGAGAGGCAGGCGGAAUUCCUAGUGUAGCGGUGAAAUGCGUAGAUAUUAGGAGGAACACCAGUGGCGAAGGCGGCCUGCUGGACGAUGACUGACGUUGAGGCUCGAAAGCGUGGGGAGCAAACAGGAUUAGAUACCCUCGUAA